AAAUAAGAAACAAAUCAAUUGUAAUUAGUUUCGACCUAAUUUUAGAUAUUAAGUUAUCCUUAUUUU
rnacentral:tRNA from 1 species